GCCGAGAGCCCAAGGCAAUCUAUUGUUCUGGGGAAUAUAUUGGUUUCUAAUUCGGACGGGUCGAAUUUUUGACGAAAUUUUCGGUUCGUCCGGGGUUGUCGGGCCUCGCCCCUCUGGUUGCCCUUUUGUGGGCCUGUUAAAAAGGCCCUCUUAAUGCCUACAGGGUGGAAGGAGUUUGAAAAAGCACUGAUGCCUUAAGCAUCUCGACCAUCAAGAGUCGAUAAUGAUGAUGAAAGACAUCAUCAAUAGAAGGGGAAAAAAUGUUUUCGCCAUAUGGAAGGAAAAACCAGCCAUUUUUUGAGUUGGAGUAAAGCAUCAUUGGUGUGGCAUAUACCCAAUAGUGGAUCCAGAAAUCAAUGCCAGAAACAAUGUGCAGUAAAAAAUUUUUACUAUCUGAAGUACCCAGCUUUAUAUGGAAAAAACUCCUGGAAUAGGGUGCAGCUUCACCCUGCAUGUCCUCUCUAAAUCUGUCCUUGCAUAUACCUUCGUUGUUGAUGUCGCAAAUCAUGGUCUAACGUUAAAGUCAAAAAUCACACCCUUGGUCAUGAUGCAGUUUGUGUGACUUUGUGGAAGCUUCCAGUUUCUACGAAGUCAAACAAAACCUCAUCACGUAUUAAACAGUAGUAAUUGUUAUAUGUAUUAACUGAUAUUUUGCAUUAACUGAAGUCAUUGAAUUUCUAGCAUUGUUUACAGGAUCACAAAUCUAUUUUGCAUUAACAUGUACUUACAUAAGCCAAUUACAUAAUGAAGGGGUUCAAUUCAGUGGCGUAAUGAACAUAACCGGCGCCCGUGGCACGACACUUUUUUGGCACCCUCACCCUCAAAUCUUGUUGUCUUGGAGACCAUUUGGUGCCUCUCUGCGCGUGGCGCCCGGGGCAUGAUAGACCCCUUUGCCUCACCUUUGCUAUGCUAGUGGUUCAAUUAUGUUUACAAAAAGAAAUAUUACUUAGAAAAGUUGAUUUUACUCUUUCAGUAAUUUUCUUAUAAUUUAUAACAAACUUUUUUCUAUUUUCAUCUCUUCCUGCCCUGACAGCACUUUCUGUUCAUUGUGUGAUGUUAGAGAUUAGAGUCAACAUAUCCUUUUUUUAAAAUUCUUUCUUCUCCAUUGAAAACUAAGAGGACCCUUUUAUUCUUUCCGUUGCAGGUUCAUCCAGACCCACAAUGGGGCAACCGAGUGCUGAGGGACAGCUUGACAUAUCCAGACAGUCUACCCCAAAAACUUCCUGGAGUUAUUUGACUGCCAAGAUUCAUUCCCAGGUUUAACAGGGCCAUGGGCAUUUAUAAAGCACAGCAAUAGGACAAAUCUAGUGAUGUCAAUACAAAAGGAAUGUAAUUGCAAUUUAUGACUCUGAGAUAAUGCAAAAUAGGACAUCUCACUUUACAACAGCUUUCCAGGAAUCAAUUAUGUCAUAAAAACAGUUUCCAAGAACCUACUGAUGAUUGUUAAGAAACACUUGCUAUACAUUUUAAUUGUAUGUCUGGUUCUGAAGCUGUUGCAUCUAUAAAUGAUAUUUUCCUCAAAAUUAGAAUGUAUCAAAGAAUAAAUAAUAAUUUUAGGCAUUUCUGAUGUUCUACAAUUUUGUCAUGGCAUUGAAAAUAAUAAUGUUUUUUAGUUCAUAUGCUCCUAAAGUUGAGCAUAUCAGCUUGUAGCCAUGUUAGAGAAACUAUAUCUUUGUAUUUAUUUUUUUUUAGAAAUGAAACAUUAUUAACAUUUAUAAGAAAAUAAAUUACUUUUAUAUUUUGAUAUUUCUUGAAAAUAUUUCAAUAUUCACAGUUACAUGAAUUCUAUAUAGGCUAUACCAGUCUAUAAAUAUUUUAUUAUAGGAAUUCUGAAAUUUCAUCUAUAGACAGCAUACUUAAGGAAGUUCCUCAAACAUAAAUCCAAUUUAAACUGCUUUUAGAAUAAAAUCUGUUUAGAAAAUCUAAGUGCUUUUGGACGAAAGUCUCUCAUAGGGAAUCAGCAAGAAAUUUUUCUUGUUGACUCCUGAUCAUAUAGAAUCUCAAAGCACUUGGGUUUAUUAAAAAGUUUUUUCUUCAAGAAGAUCAAUUUGAAUUGGAUUUAAUCUAUCAACUCUGUAGAAUUUAAAUCAAUAUCAUUUCAGAUAAAGAAAGAGUCAGUUUCUGUCAAAAACAGUAUAUUUAUUCUUCAUCCCAUUAACAUUUUUAUUAUUUGUUAUUAGAUUGAGUUUAGAUUUCAUGGACAUUACUGUUAAUUAAUAUAUAUAUGUACAGUACAUUGCUGAUAUAUACAGUACAG
rnacentral:lncRNA from 1 species